rnacentral:lncRNA from 1 species
GAGAUUUUCAAGAAAAAAGUUGGGAAAUCUCUGCACUGUCUUCAAGAACUGGCUUCCAAGAAGUCUGUUGCAGUUCAUAACAAACAUGACAUUGAGUUCGGAACAUCAGCAAGGGAAAAUGAUUGGGACACUUUGGAUGCGGUCCCUAACUAUCAAUAUUCUUUGAUUGAAACCUUUUUAGUUUUUAGUUUUUUAUUAAGGUCAUCGACAUUAAUAUAAUAAUGUAAGUUACUAUAUUUUUAAAUUAAAAAUUAAAAUUGAAAUUUGUAAUUGUUUAUAUUAAUGAGAUUUUAAAUAAAAUCCAUAAUUUAUGGGAUUAAAAAUAAUAAAAUAUAAAUUAUACUCUCUAUUAUAUUGUGUGUGUGUGUGUACAUAUAUGUAUGGGUACAUUAACCAAAAUUAACAAAAAAAGGUAUUGUACCAAAACAUGGAUACAUUCUCAAAUCAACGAAAAAGAAUGUACCCAUAUAAGUUUAAACAUGGAUUAAAAAAUUUGAAUGGAUUUUAUAUUAAAAAAAAGGGUACAUUUUACAUAUAACAAAUUGAUAUUUGAGAAUGGGUACAUUUAAGAUUUAAAAAAUUGAAAAAUCAUAUGAAUGGGUACAUUUAAGAUUAAAAAAUUGAGAAUCUUUAUAUAUAUAUAUAUAUAUAUAUAUAUAUAUAUAUAAAACUAAUAGGUACAAACUUAAUUUAAUUUAAUUUUUUAUUGUUUUGGAAAUGUUUGAAUUGAAAAUUAAUUAGAAGUUUAAUAGAGGUGUGAAUAUUAAACCCUAAAUUAAUUACUAAUUUUUAUAUUAAAAAUUAUAUAAUAAACAUGUAAAUUCAUUAUCACAUUAAUGAUAGGGACUUGAAUCAAAAUUUGAGAACUAAUAAGGUCUUAGUCAAUGAACAGUAAAAACUAGGGACCGGAUACUAAUUUUUCCAAAAUGAUUCUAGGGGCUUGGAUUCAGAGAAGGAAGAGACUGAAAGCAUUGUAGACUCUUUUCUUCAAAAUUCCAAUGAAUUAUCCGAAAAAAUUGCCGCCAGGACUGGAUUAAUAAAGGAUCAGAAGCUUAGAGGGCAAGUAACUGUUUGUUUGGGUGGAUUAGGGUUUUGCAUCAGCAGUCUGCUGAGGGAAGUAAAGGAGAUGGAGAAAGAGUUUCAAGAACUUAUCAAAUUGGAACACCCUUCAAGCCAUGUAUUUGUAUGAAGACACAUACUUUAAUAUCCUAAAAUCUUACUCUUCC